rnacentral:rRNA from 1 species
UACAGAGGGUGCGAGCGUUGUCCGGAAUCACUGGGCGUAAAGGGCGCGUAGGUGGCGACCCAAGUCUGUGGUGAAAGCUCGACGCUCAACGUCGAGUCGGCCAUAGAUACUGGGUUGCUUGAGCACUGUAGAGGCAGAUGGAAUUCCGGGUGUAGCGGUGGAAAUGCGUAGAUAUCUGGAGGAACACCGGUGGCGAAGGCGGCAUCCUGGACCGGCAUUGACGCUGAGGCGCGAAAGCCAGGGGAGCAAACGGG